rnacentral:rRNA from 1 species
GAAAACUUACAAUUGCGGGAAGCCGUGAUAAGGGGACACGAGGUGCAGCAUCAUAUUGCUGCCGUCCGGGUGGUGUAAAAUACACCCGUUAGCAAGGGCCGGGCAAGACCGGUGCCAGCCGCCGCGGUAACACCGGCGGCCCCGAGGUGGUGAUCGUGAUAUUGGGUCUAAAGGGUCCGUAGCCGGUUUGGUCAGUCCUCCGGGAAAUCUGAUAGCUCAACUAUUAGGCUUUCGGGGGAUACUGCCAGGCUUGGAACCGGGAGAGGUAAGAGGUACUACAGGGGUAGGAGUGAAAUCUUGUAAUCCCUGUGGGACCACCUGUGGCGAAGGCGUCUUACCAGAACGGGUUCGACGGUGAGGGACGAAAGCUGGGGGCACGAACCGGAUUAGAUACCCGGGUAGUCCCAGCCGUAAACGAUGCUCGCUAGGUGUCAGGCAUGGCGCGACCGUGUCUGGUGCCGCAGGGAAGCCGUGAAGCGAGCCACCUGGGAAGUACGGCCGCAAGGCUGAAACUUAAAGGAAUUGGCGGGGGAGCACAACAACGGGUGGAGCCUGCGGUUUAAUUGGACUCAACGCCGGACAACUCACCGGGGGCGACAGCAAUAUGUAGGCCAAGCUGAAGACUUUGCCUGAAUCGCUGAGAGGAGGUGCAAGGCCGUCGCCAGUUCGUACUGUGAAGCAUCCUGUUAAGUCAGGCAACGAGCGAGACCCGUGCCCACUGUUACCAGCAUAUCCUCCGGGAUGAUGGGUACUCUGUGGGGACCGCCGGUGUUAAAUCGGAGGAAGGUGCGGGCCACGGUAGGUCAGUAUGCCCCGAAUCUCCCGGGCUACACGCGGGCUACAAUGGAUGGGACAAUGGGUCCCUCCCCCGAAAGGGGCUGGCAAUCUCAUAAACCCAUCCUUAGUUCGGAUCGAGGGCUGUAACUCGCCCUCGUGAAGCUGGAAUCCGUAGUAAUCGCGUUUCAAUAUAGCGCGGUGAAUACGUCCCUGCUCCUUGCACACACCG